rnacentral:tRNA from 1 species
AAUUGAUUAGUCUAAAAAAGACUUUUGUUUUGAAUACAAAAAAUGAAUAUUAAAUAAGUCAUCAAUUU